GACGAACGCUGGCGGCGUGCUUAACACAUGCAAGUCGAACGGAAAGGCCCUGCUUUUGUGCGGUGCUCGAGUGGCGAACGGGUGAGUAGCACGUGAGUAACCUGCCCUUCACUUUGGGGUAACUUCAGGAAACUGGGGCUACUACCGGAUAGGAGCUCCUGCUGCGUGGUGGGGGUUGGAACGUUUCGGCGGGUGGGGAUGGACGCGCGGCUUAUCAGCUUGUUGGUUGGGGAGUGGCAUACCAAGGGUUUGACGGGUCGCCGGCCUGUGAGGGUGAACGGCCACAUUGGUACUGAGGUAGGGACCAGACGCCUACGGGGGGCAGCAGUGGGGAAUAUGGCACAGUGGGCGGAAGCCUGUUGCAGCAACGCCGCGUGUGGGAUGACGGUUUGCGGGGAGUGAACAGCUGUCGGCUGUGACGAAGCGGGAGUGACGGUAAUGGGUGAAGAAGCACCGGCUAACUACGUG
rnacentral:rRNA from 1 species